rnacentral:rRNA from 1 species
UACGUAGGGGGCAAGCGUUGUCCGGAUUUACUGGGCGUAAAGAGCGUGUAGGCGGCCACGCAGGUCCGUUGUGAAAACUGGAGGCUCAACCUCCAGCUGUCGACGGAAACCGUGUGGCUAGAGUCCGGAAGAGGAGAGUGGAAUUCCGUGGUGUAGCGGUGAAAUGCGCAGAUAUCAGGAAGAACACCAAUGGCGAAGGCAGCUCUCUGGGACGGUACUGAGCUGAGACGCGAAAGCGUGGGGAGCGAACAGG